CAGGACGAACGCUGGCGGCGUGCUUAAUACAUGCAAGUCGAGCGAGCUACUUCGGUAGCGAGCGGCGCACGGGUGAGUAACGCGUAGAUGAUCUACCCUUGAGACGGAGAUACCUCCGGGAAACUGGAGUUAAUACCCGAUAACGCACAUUGGUUGGUUCCGAUGUGUUAAAGCGGUGCAAGUCGCACUUGAGGAUGAGUCUGCGGCCUAUCAGCUAGUUGGUGGGGUAACGGCCUACCAAGGCGAAGACGGGUAGCUGAUCUGAGAGGAUGAUCAGCCACAUUGGGACUGAGACACGGCCCAAACUCCUACGGGAGGCAGCAGUAGGGAAUAUUGCGCAAUGGGGGGAACCCUGACGCAGCGACGCCGCGUGAGUGAUGACGGCCUUUUUGGUUGUAAAGCUCUGUAAAGAGGGAAAAAUGUUUAUGUGAAGAGCAUAAAUUGAUGGUACCUCUAAAGUAAGGACCGGCUAAAUACGUGCCAGCCGCUGC
rnacentral:rRNA from 1 species